UAUAUAACUAUUUAUGACAAUAUGUACACUCAAACACGUUUUUCCGUCAAAUACUCUAUCUGCUUUAUUGGUUUUACUUUCAGGCCAAAAUCGGCAAAAACAAAUGUCUAUGAAACACUUUCUGACGCAACAAGGACAGUACGAUCCGACGACUACAGUGCUAUCGAUCAUGCCUCAACCAAUGAGCAUAGUGCAGAUACCAGCUCCAGAAUACCAAAGCCGAAAGGAAAUCGAACAUUACCGAAGUAAUUGUCCG